GACGAACGCUGGCGGCGUGCUUAACACAUGCAAGUCGAACGGAAAGGCCCUUCGGGGUACUCGAGUGGCGAACGGGUGAGUAACACGUGGGUGAUCUGCCCUGCACUUUGGGAUAAGCCUGGGAAACUGGGUCUAAUACCGAAUAGGACCACGCGCUUCAUGGUGUGUGGUGGAAAGCUUUUGCGGUGUGGGAUGGGCCCGCGGCCUAUCAGCUUGUUGGUGGGGUAAUGGCCUACCAAGGCGACGACGGGUAGCCGGCCUGGGAGGGUGACCGGCCACACUGGGACUGAGAUACGGCCCAGACUCCUACGGGAGGCAGCAGUGGGGAAUAUUGCACAAUGGGCGCAAGCCUGAUGCAGCGACGCCGCGUGAGGGAUGACGGCCUUCGGGUUGUAAACCUCUUUCACCAGGGACGAAGCGUAAGUGACGGUACCUGGAGAAGAAGCACCGGCCAACUACGUG
rnacentral:rRNA from 1 species